AAGGAGUAAAGAUGGGAGACACACAAAAAUAAAGGCAGUAUUCUACAAAGAUAGAAAGAUUAAAAGAGCUAGAGGCAAGAAAGAGGCAGACUUUAGUAGGGUCUCAAUAAAUAUAUGUUGAAAAAACAUGGUGUUUAAUUGUAGAUCACAACUUGCAAUUUAUUUAGGCAGAGUAUUUCAAAGCAAACAAGCACCCACUAUAGCUUGCCUUUCAAAUCAUUACUUUAAUUAGGCACAGUUUAGUUCUUCAAAUACCCUUAUCCUUAAACCUCUAGAGAGGAAAUUAUUCUCUGGGCUAGGGUGACUACAGGCCAGAUGGCAGUGAGUUAAGAACCAUGACUGAAAACUGUAACUUUUCCUCCCUGUUAUAAACCAUCUAUGGCUAUAAAUACUAAACCAAAAGAAUAGACACUGACAAGGCAUUAUAUGAUUUGAAUCACAAAGCUUAAAAUGUGUUUACCAUGAAAUAUUAAGGAAAGGAAAUGGACUAAUCCUUUUAAGAAAGAUUUUUCAACAGAAGUUGAAAUAAAGGAAAUCCUUUGCUUACCUCAAAAAGAAUAAGGAAAUUAAGUAAGCAUAAAUAUCGUAUUUCCCAAGCACUUUGAAGAUUUUCAAAUAUUUCAGGCCAUAAAACAGGAGGAAGAAAAUAGGUAAGAGCCACAUUAAUACUUUUAAAUUUGGACCCCUCAGUCUUAAAUAGGCCUUUCUCUCUUAAGCUGCAAUAGCACUUAAUCCUCUUUAAAAAACAUUUAUCAUACUUGUAAUCAUCUUAUUCAGUGUCGGUCUUGUCAAAACAAUAUAGCAUAAUGGGUUCAGAGCUGGCUCUGCCACUUACUAUUAAUAGCUUUGUGACCGUGGGAAAGUACCUUACUCCUCUGUGCCUCAGUCUACCCAUUUAAAAAUAGGGCUAAUAAGAAUACUUCUUCAGAGGGUUAGUGUGAUGAGUAAAUGAGCAAAAUGGAAGAUACCUAGUUCAAAAUAGGUACUCCAAAAAAUUUGUUAAAUAAAUAGUUGCUGAACGAGUUGAGUGAUUGAUUCUGUUGUUUCUCUGGAAGAAAAGACUGAUGGGGGGUCAAAGCCAGUGGUACCGUAAGGGGUUUUCUCGCUCUGGGAAGAUUCUUCAAGCAAUACUAUGUCAACCAACACAGAUGUUUCUCUUUCUUCAUAUGAUGAAGAUCAGGGAUCCAAACUUAUCCAAAAAGCUAAAGAGGCACCAUUUGUCCCCAUUGGAAUGGCAGGUUUUGCAGCAAUUGUUGCAUAUGGAUUAUACAAAUUGAAGAGCAGGGGAAAUACUAAAAUGUCCGUUCACCUGAUACGCAUGUGUGUGGCAGCCCAAGGCUUUGUUGUGGGAGCAAUGACUCUGGGUAUGGGCUAUUCCAUGUAUUGGGAAUUCUAGGCAAAACCUAAACCUUAGAAGAAGAGCUGCUGUCUUUGUCUUGGUCUUGUUGGAGGAGCUUGAUUUAGUUAUUGAGGUUACCUAUCGAUGUCAAAAAUAAAUUAUUUCAGUGAGUUCAGACAAUAAUACAGUAUUUUGAAUAUUGGCUUCCUUUCUUGCAGCUUGAUUUGCCUGGUGACCAAAUUACUAGUGACUAGUUCACUAACUAGGUCAUUCACGGGAGUCAAGUUAGCACAAAAAGAAACAUGUCACCUAAAUGCACUUGGUGAUGUUAAAAUGUCCACCUUCUUAAACUGUUAAAUGAAAUUAGUUCUAAAGAGGACAGCAGGCCAACCCUGAAGUACUCCCAGUUUGCUGCAGAACAUCUCAUGCUUUGGAUGUCAUGUAGGAGUCCUGUUUACCCCAGUUAAUUUAACUUUUUUCUGCCUGUCUUGGGGACUGGUUGAGUACUUCAGUUUUGGGGACUGGUUGGUUCUUUUAGAACUCUUUUUAAAAAAAGUGCAUGAAUAUAAUUUGUAAAGCCUUUCAAAAUUGAAAGUGUAUGUGUAUGUGUUUAAACCAAACCUAGAAAGCUUACAACAGAGCUGUAUAGUAGUAGUAUUUAUUUCAGAAUCACGAUUGUAAACACAAGAAAAACUUAAUUAUGGAUUCUCAUUUAGCCCUUUUGUAACUGUAAAAUUAUAUUUUUGCUGCGGUUAUAUUUGUGUAAUUUUUAAAUGUCACUUUGAA